AGAGUUUGAUCCUGGCUCAGAAUGAACGCUGGCGGCGUGCCUAACACAUGCAAGUCGAACGAGAAAAGCCUUCGGGCUUAGUAAAGUGGCGAACGGGUGAGCAAUACAUAGGUAUCUACCUUUUAGUAGAGAAUACCUCCGAGAAAUCGGGGUUAAUACUGUAUAACCCCUGUGAUGAACAGGGCAAAGGCGGCCUCUUGCUGUCGCUAAAAGAUGAGCCUAUGGCCUAUUAGUUAGUUGGUGGGGUAAUGGCCUACCAAGACGAAGAUGGGUAACCGACCUGAGAGGGUGAUCGGUCACACUGGAACUGAGACACGGUCCAGACUCCUACGGGAGGCAGCAGUGGGGAAUAUUGCACAAUGGGCGAAAGCCUGAUGCAGCGACGCCGCGUGGAGGAUGAAGGUCUUCGGAUUGUAAACUCCUGUUAAGUGGGAAAAAAGACUUCUGGCUAAUAUCCAGAGGGGAUGAUGGUACCACUAGAGAAAGCACCGGCAAACCUCGUGCCAGCAGCCGCGGUAAGACGAGGGGUGCAAGCGUUAUUCGGAAUUACUGGGCGUAAAGAGCGUGAAGACGGUUUUUUAAGUCAACUGUUAAAUCACCCGGCUUAACCGGGUAUCAGCAGUUGAUACUGGAUGACUAGAGCUUAGAAGAGAGAAGUGGAAUUCUCGGAGUAGCGGUAAAAUGCGUAGAUCUCGAGAGGAACACCAGUGGUGAAGACGGCUUCUUGGUCUAUAGCUGACGUUCAAGCGCGAAAGCGUGGGGAGCAAACAGGAUUAGAUACCCUGGUAGUCCACGCUGUAAACGAUGAUCACUAGAUGUGGGUUUUGCUUUGCAAGAUCCGUGUCGUAGCUAACGCGUUAAGUGAUCCGCCUGAGAACUACGGUCGCAAGAUUAAAACUCAAAGGAAUUGACGGGGGUCCGCACAAGCGGUGGAACAUGUGGUUUAAUUCGACACUACGCGAGGAACCUUACCUGGGUUUGACAUGUAGUUGAAAUCGGUAGAGAUAUCGACCUCCGUGUUUACACGGACAAUUACACAGGUGCUGCAUGGCUGUCGUCAGCUCGUGUCGUGAGACGUCGGGUUAAGUCCUUGAACGAGCGCAACCCUUGCCGCUAGUUGCUACGACUUCGGUCGGCACUCUAGCGGGACUGCCUUGGAAACAAGGAGGAAGGUGGGGAUGACGUCAAGUCCUCAUGGCCCUUAUACCCAGGGCUACACACGUGUUACAAUGGCGAAGAACAAAGGGAUGCAAGACCGUAAGGUGGAGCAAAUCUCAGAAAAUUCGUCUAAGUUCAGAUUGAAGUCUGCAACUCGACUUCAUGAAGUUGAAAUCGCUAGUAAUCGCGUAUCAGAAUGACGCGGUGAAUACGUUCUCGGGCCUUGUACACACCGCCCGUCACACCACGAAAGCUGUCUGCACUCGAAAUUAUCUUAGCUAACCUUUAUCGGAGGCGGGUAAUGAAGGUGAAGGGAGUGAUUGGGGUGAAGUCGUAACAAGGUAGCUGUACGAGAACGUGCGGCUG
rnacentral:rRNA from 1 species